AAAGCUUCUUAUACAAACAUUUAUUUAUUUUGCAUGUUUUAUUAACUAAUUGAAUUUUCGUUUUUCUAUUUUUCAGUUGCUUUUCAUUACUCUUCACCAAAUAUUUUUCUUCUUAUUCAUCUUUCGGAUCUGAAACGGCUUCCGACGAAACCACCGAAUCUGAAAUUAAAACCACCGAAAUCAUUAGAUAUGAAAUCAAAACGAACAUAUCUGUAAUCUAAACUUCCAGAUCUUAAAAAAGUCAUUGCUAUUCAUCAAUGAGGCAUAACAAAUAUAUUUCCUCAAUGAGUUUUUUCCCUUAACUCCCUUUUCAGUGUUUAUCUUUCUAUUUAUUCUAUAGCAUGUUAUUUAUGAGUUUUUUCUAUUAACAAGAUUUCAUUUUUCCUUUUUUUCGGUUCUCUUUCUUAAUGAACUUUUUUUUCCUUUUUCUAUCUCUAUUGAUUUUACGUUUUUAUAUCCUAUUAUCUUCUAUUAACUAUUUUUGUAAUGAUUAAUGGAUUGUUAUGAAAAGUGAAUUUUGAAAUAAACUUAGUAUUGCAAUAUAAAAUGUUGUUUUUGAUUAAUUUUUUGCAUGAUUGGUUUUAUGGUUGAUGUUAAGGUGAGAAAGUAAUUGUAGCUUGAUGGAAUUUUUGGGAAGGUGUUGAAAUUUCUAGAGUCCCCACAUGCUACUAGUGAUGCUUGCUUAAAAACAGGUAAAUAUAACCAAGUCUCAAAGAUGGUCUUGUCACAAAUCUUCUCACUUCUUCUCAAAGACGGGUCACGUCACCGAUCUUCUCACUUCUUCAAAUCUUUUGUUAUUUGAAUUUUUUUCUUCCAAAAUAGUUUUUUUUUAUGUUAUAGUGUUUUAAUUUUUUAUUUCACUUAUUCAUUGUUAUUGAUGUUAAAGUAUUUUGAUUUCCUUAAAUUUACAUAAAAAAUUGUGUGAACUUACAUAUCAACAUACUUACUGCAUCUAUUUUUUCUUUUAU